rnacentral:rRNA from 1 species
CCUACGGGAGGCAGCAGUGAGGAAUAUUGGUCAAUGGACGAGAGUCUGAACCAGCGAAGUAGCGUGAAGGAUGACUGACCUAGGGGUUGUAAACUUCUUUUAUAUGGGAAUAAAAUGUUCCACGUGUGGGAUUUUGUAUGUAUCAUAUGAAUAAGGAUCGGCUAACUCCGUGCCAGCAGCCGCGGUAAUACGGAGGAUCCGAGCGUUAUCCGGAUUUAUUGGGUUUAGAGGGAGCGUAGGUGGAUUGUUAAGUCAGUUGUGAAAGUUUGCGGCUCAACCGUAAAAUUGCAGUUGAAACUGGCAGUCUUGAGUACAGUAGAGGUGGGCGGAAUUCGGAGUGUAGCGGUGAAAUGCUUAGAUAUCACGAAGAACUCCGAUUGCGAAGGCAGUUCACUGGACUGCAACUGACACUGAGGCUCGAAAGUGUGGGUAGCAAACAGGAUUAGAUACCCGAGUAGUC